CCUGUUAAAUUUGGGCCCCGGCCAAUUGCCCGAAUUGCCUGUGCCUAAAACCGCUACUAGUGCGGCCCCACUGGCAUUGCAUCACUAUUUGAGAAGCACUGCGUAAGGUAAGUGUCACGGUGCCUCUGUCAGCUACCUUCCCCCUCCCCUCUCUGCCCUGAUCGCGACCAGCUGGUUCCACUCACCUCAUCAACCUGCAGCAUUCUUAAGGAGCCCUCGGAUCAUCAUUCGACGCCAGUUCGUUGUUCCUCUACGGAAAAAACCUCCACGGGUGCUCCUCUGGUCGCAGUCUGCUGUUCAUGCUCCUCGUCUGUUCCUGGGAUCCAGCUUCAUCCAAGCUCACUGGUUUCUGCCUCAAUACCCUCCAGCCUGCCGCGCCUACGCAUCAAGAUCCUUCUUACCUCAAGUCUGCUCAUUCACUGGCUGUGAAUUAAAUCCCUCAUACUUACCAGA